UAAUACGUAGGAAGCAAGCGUUGCCCGGAAUUACUGGGCGUAAAGAGCUCGUAGGCGGGGGCGUGCGUCCGAGAAGAAAUCUCAAGGCUCAACCUUGGGGCUAUCUCGGAUACGGCGCUUCUUGAGGGUGAGAGAGGAAAGCGGAAUUCCAGGUGUAGCGGUGAAAUGCGUAGAUAUCUGGAGGAACACCAGCGGCGAAGGCGGCUUUCUGGCUCAUUCCUGACGCUGAGGAGCGAAAGCGUGGGUAGCGAACGGGAUUAGAUACCCCGGUAGUCCACGCCGUAAACGAUGGAUACUAGGUGUAGGAGGUAUCGACCCCUUCUGUGCCGGAGUUAACACAUUAAGUAUCCCGCCUGGGGAGUACGGUCGCAAGGCUG
rnacentral:rRNA from 1 species